GGUGCUGCAUGGUUGUCGUCAGCUCGUGCCGUGAGGUGCGGGUUAAGUCCCAUAACGAGCGCAACCCUUAUCGUUAGUUGCCAGCUGGUAAAGCAGGGGACUCUAGCGAAACUGCCACCGUAAGGUGAGAGGAAGGUGGGGAUGACGUCAAAUCAGCACGGCCCUUAUGUCCAGGGCUACACACGUGUUACAAUGGCCGGCACAGAGGGCAGCUACCUGGUGACAGGAUGCUAAUCUCGAAAACCGGUCUCAGUUCGGAUCGAAGUCUGCAACUCGACUUCGUGAAGCUGGAUUCGCUAGUAAUCGCGCAUCAGCCAUGGCGCGGUGAAUACGUUCCCGGGCCUU
rnacentral:rRNA from 1 species